rnacentral:rRNA from 1 species
GACGAACGCUGGCGGCGUGCUUAACACAUGCAAGUCGAACGGAAAGGCCCUGCUUUUGUGGGGUGCUCGAGUGGCGAACGGGUGAGUAACACGUGAGUAACCUGCCCUUGACUUUGGGAUAACUUCAGGAAACUGGGGCUAAUACCGGAUAGGAGCUCCUGCUGCAUGGUGGGGGUUGGAAAGUUUCGGCGGUUGGGGAUGGACUCGCGGCUUAUCAGCUUGUUGGUGGGGUAGUGGCUUACCAAGGCUUUGACGGGUAGCCGGCCUGAGAGGGUGACCGGCCACAUGGGGACUGAGAUACGGCCCAGACUCCUACGGGAGGCAGCAGUGGGGAAUAUUGCACAAGGGGCGGAAGCCUGAUGCAGCAACGCCGCGGGCGGGAUGACGGCCUUCGGGUGGUAAACCGCUUUCGCCUGUGACGAAGCGUGGGUGAGGGUAAUGGGUAAAGAAGCACGGGCUAACUACGU